AAUGAACGCUGGCGGCGUGCUUAACACAUGCAAGUCGAGCGAGAAAGCUCCUUCGGGAGUGAGUAAAGCGGCGGACGGGUGAGUAACGCGUGAGAAGCUACCUUCUAGUGAAGAAUACCUCCGGGAAACUGGGGUUAAUGCUGCAUAAGUCCCUUCGGGGAGAAAGAUGGCCUCUUUGCUGUCGCUAGAAGAUGUGCUCGCGUACUAUUAGCUUGUUGGUGGGGUAAAAGCCUACCAAGGCGAUGAUGGUUAACCGGCCUGAGAGGGCGAUCGGUCACAUUGGAACUUAGACACGGUCCAG
rnacentral:rRNA from 1 species